GAAGGUGUUGUGAACCUGAAAUUUUGAGCAGAUGAUUUCAAAACAGAGAAGUAAGAAGAAUUAUGGUGUGUGUAAACGAGCUUCGCAAUAGACGAAGAGUUGUGAAAACGAAUGGAAAGGCAACGAAGAAAUUCCUCAGCAGGUUGAGCUGAAGCACUAAUUCUCCAUGACAAGGAGAGGAUAAUAAUAAGAAGAAAAGGAAACAUAUUUAAUUUAAUUUCUGGGUCUAUGUUAUGUGAACAUUGAAAUGUGUUGCAAGCAAUCACGUUAUUAAUAAUGCUAAGGUUGGUGGGCAGGGUCAUCUGCCAUAUAUGAAACCAAAAUUACGUUGAAGAAUCAACAACAGGCAAGGUCAACGCCAUGGCCGCCCAUUGUUUCAGCUGUCGUAUUUGACAUAAUUGCCAUUAGCUUUGCUCCAAGAGCCGAAUUCAAAUACGAAUCUGAUCCCAAUUGACAAUGAAGAUUUCUUGGAUAGUAGCAUCAUCUAUGUGAACAUCUAUCCAUUGCUCCACAAUAAUAAUUUAUUCAUUUAACAACUAUAACAGAAAUUUUUAAUUGCUUCAAAUAUAUAAAUGAUAAAUCUUAAAAUUGUAUAUUGAUUUUGAUUCAGUGUGAAAUGUGAUAAAUAAAUUUUAAUUUUAUAUAAUUAAUCUGUUCAAACAAAAAGCUGACUUCUACAUAGCUCCCUUUACUAUUGUUAAAGUCAUCAACUCCAUUGUUUAGAGGUUGUCAGCCGACCGAAAUUUUUUGCCCUCCACUUGCAGCAUAUACAGAGCAUCUUUGACUUUUCUUUGGAAAUGCUUGUAAUAGGUCAUGUAUGUAAACCCAUUUUUGGUCUCCCUAAAUUUUCUCCACGCUUAAUGUGGUCUUUUGGAUUGUUAUAAUCUGGAAAUUUCUUGCAUUAGAUUUCCUCAUAUAAAAUUGUAACAAAUUCAUUUUCUUAUUUUUUUUCGUCUCUUUCAAGGUGUGGGUUUUAUAUUUGUCAUUAAUUUUAACCUCAAGCACCAAAUUCGAAUAAUAAUAUAUUCUCUAAAGAUAUUAUCUAAUCUAUCGCUUGAUAAAUAUAAUCAACAAUCAUUUAAUCAAUUCACUUAAUUAAUUCAAUUUUGGUUAAUUUAAUUUUUCAAUUAAAUUAAUUAUAUUCUAAUUAUGAUAAUUUUGUGUAUAUAUUAAAUUAUAGUAUAAGAAUAAUCAGUUAAAUCAAACUGAUCAAUUUAAUCAUUUUCACAUCCAACACUAAACACUGUUAUCGAGAGGGUGCUACAAAUUGCGGAAUGAAAUGUGCUUGUAACUAGGAAUUAGGGAGUCAAAUAGCUUUGUUGAUACUCUCACUAAAGAUGGUAAAACAGCUGGACGUUUGGCGUAGCUUCAUGGUUUUAGACUUCACUUAAAACAUAUAUCAGUGUUAUUAAUGCUUCAAAUAAAAAUUCUAUAAUAAAGUACUCUGUUUUUUAUAAGAUAAUACUACAAUUGUGAAUUAGUCAAAUAGAGGAUUAGAUAAAAAUUAAGCUAAAACUAUUAUAAUUUUUAUAAAUUUGUAUUUGAUGCAAUCAUAAAUAUUUGUGAAUGACUCGUAAUUCACCAUUAUAAUAGCAUUUAACAAAUAAAUUUUAUUUUAUUUUUUGAAUAAAAAUUUUAUUUCAUCUAUAAUAACAUGAGAAGUAUGAAUUUUUUGAAAUUCUAUAAGCUUUAGUGAUCUUUUAAGGUUGCUCCCGUUUCCACAAUUACGAAAGAGGAGGGAUGCUUUGUUCGUGCCUGAAAAAGUUUUGGGAAUCAACUUUUGUCUUUAUAUGCACCAACCUGUCGAAGUUAUUCUUAAAAUAUUUAAUGCCCCAAACCCUGGCUUCUGCAUAGCUUUCUUUGUCGUUGUUAAUUUUAUUAGCCCCGAUGUCAAGAUCUCUGUAAUUGCUAUAUGCUUCUCUUGGAGAUUUUGAAACGUAAGGAGUCAUGUAAUUGUAAACUCUCCCCAUCCAACUCAUGAACUUUUUAGAGUUUUUAUUUUCCUCUUCUUCCCAGUCCACCACGUAUAAGAUGCUGUAGAGAUUUCCAGCUCUAUGAGGAUAUGGAGAUUCAGUCUCAGAAAUCUCUUCCAUUUUGCCUCCAAAAGCCACAAAUACCAUACUUGCGAAUUUUGCUUCGUCCUCAUAAAACUUAGGCCACAAUCCUUGGAAUGCUGAUUCUGGAAUAAGUUGUUUUACAAAAUCCGAUUUUGCUUUGAAGAACGUUUUCGAAAGAACUGACUUUUGGCUUCUCUCGAGUAAAGUUUCUAAUGAUACUCCAACAGGACAUUGGGUAGCGCAAAGAUUAGAUUCAGCCCAACUCAUUUCAAAGCAAUCUUCUUUCACUAUUCCAAGUUGAGGGAAUUUUUCUUCCAUCAGCGGAACAAGCUCAUCGGUGCUUCCCAGAAAUAUGCCCGUAAAACUUGCUUGAACCGUCAUCUUUUCAUUUUCACUUGAAUUCACCCUUGAAAUGAUGAUGCUCGUAUGUAUUUCUUUGGGAAGCUUGUGUGCAAUAUACUGCCACUGGUGAACAAGCUUGGUCGCAUUUUGUUCUAACGUUUUGCUCACUGUAAAAACAGUAACAUUAGCUGGAACUGGCACUAAUUUCAGCUUCCAAGCAAGGACUAUCCCAAAGCUACCCCCACCACCUCCUCGAAUGGCCCAAAACAAAUCUUCUCCCAUGGAUUUUUUAUCAAGAAUUCUCCCUUCAACAUCAAUUAAACGAGCAUCGAUUACAUUAUCUGCACCAAGACCAUAUUUUCGAAACAAUACGCCAUAGCCUCCUCCACUCAAAUGUCCACCGACACCCACGGUGUGACCGAUACCAGCCGGAAAGGCAAGAGUUCUACUUUUCCGAGCAAUUUCGUAGUACAAUUCUCCAAUAGUUGCACCAGAUUCAACCCAUACCGUAGCUUUUUCAACGUUAACCUGAACCGAUCGAAGAUUCACCAAAUCGAUCACCACAAAAGGAACUUUAUAAGCGGUAGUAUAAGAAAGACCCUCAAAGUCAUGACCCCCACUUCGAGUCCUGACUUGCAGUCCAUGUUUUCUGCAACAAUAAACUGCGGCUUGGAUGUGGGAUGCAAGCAGUGGUGUUACAAUGGCCAAAGGUGUAGGCGUAGAUGGUGUUGUGAACCUCAAAUUUUGAGCAGAUGACUUCAAAACAGAGGAGUAUGAUGAAUUAUGUUGGGUGUAAACGAGUUUGGCAAAGGAAGAAGAGUUGUGAAAACGAAUGGAAAGGCAACGAAGAAAUUCCUCAGCAGGUUGAGCUGAAGCACUAAUUCUCCAUGACAAGGAGAGGAUAAUAAUAAGAAGAAAAGGAAACAUAUUUAAUUUAAUUUCUGGGUCUAUGUU
rnacentral:lncRNA from 1 species